GCCAACUUAGCUCAGUUGGUAGAGCAGCUCACUCGUAACGAGCAGGUCACAGGUUCGAUCCCUGCAGUUGGCA
rnacentral:tRNA from 1 species